UCUCCGUAGGUGAACCUGCGGAGGGAUCAUUACAGAGUUCAUGCCCUACCGGGUAGAUCUCCCACCCUAUGUUAUUAUUACUUUGUUGCUUUGGCGGGCCGUUAGGCUCCGGCCCGACUACCGGCCCCGGCUGGUAAGCGCCCGCCAGAGGACCCAAAACCCUGAAUAUUAGUGUCGUCUGAGUACUAUAUAAUAGUUAAAACUUUCAACAACGGAUCUCUUGGUUCUGGCAUCGAUGAAGGACGCAGC
rnacentral:misc_RNA from 1 species